rnacentral:rRNA from 1 species
AGCGAACGCUGGCGGCAGGCCUAACACAUGCAAGUCGAGCGCCCAGCAAUGGGAGCGGCAGACGGGAUAGUAACACGUGGGAACGUACCUUUCAGUUCGGAACAACCCAGGGAAACUUGGGCUAAUACCGAAUACGUCCGUAAGGAGAAAGAUUUAUCGCUGAAAGAUCGGCCCGCGUCUGAUUAGCUAGUUGGUGAGGUAAUGGCUCACCAAGGCGACGAUCAGUAGCUGGCUGAGAGGAUGAUCAGCAUCACUGGGACUGAGACACGGCCAGACUCCUACGGGAGGCAGCAGUGGGAAUAUUGCACAAUGGGCGCAAGCCUGGAUGCCAGCGACGCCGCGUGAGGGAUGACGGCC